GACGAACCGUGCGAAUGUUGUUCGGAAUCACUGGGCUUAAAGGGCGCGUAGGCGGGCCACCCAGUCCGGGGUGAAAUCUUUCGGCUCAACCGGAAAAGGGCCUUGGAUACUGGUGGUCUGGAGGAAGGUAGGGGCAUGCGGAACUUCCGGUGGAGCGGUGAAAUGCGUUGAUAUCGGAAGGAACGCCGGUGGCGAAAGCGGCGUGCUGGACCUUUGCUGACGCUGAUGCGCGAAAGCCAGGGGAGCGAACGGG
rnacentral:rRNA from 1 species